UACGUAGGGAGCUAGCGUUGUCCGGAAUCAUUGGGCGUAAAGCGCGCGUAGGCGGCCCGGUAAGUCCGCUGUGAAAGUCAAAGGCUCAACCUUUGAAUGUCAGCGGAUACUGCCGGGCUAGAGUCCGGAAGAGGCGAGUGGAACUCCUGGUGUAGCGGUGGAAUGCGCAGAUAUCAGGAGGAACACCGGUGGCGAAGGCGGGUCUCUGGGCCGAUACUGACGCUGAGGAGCGAAAGCGUGGGGAGCGAACAGG
rnacentral:rRNA from 1 species